CGCUAUAUGACCACAGAGGUAAAUAGAGCUAUUAGUCAGCACUGAAGAGUCCAAAGUGUCCACGGAAGCUAUCUACCAACAUCACCGUGACUACAGCAUUACUACAGGAAUAGAAACAUGACUUGGAUGUUCCAUUUCUACAAAUUAAUUAACUCUAUAUGAACUGUACCCCAUUGGAACUGGACCCCAACAGAACUGGACCCCAUCUGAACUGGACCCCAACUGAACUGGACCCCAACUGAACUGGACCCCAUUGGAACUGGACCCCAUUGGAACUGGACCCCAUUGGAACUGGACCCCAUCUGAACUGGACCCCAUUGGAACUGGACCCCAUCUGAACUGGACCCCAUUGGAACUGGACCCCAUCGGAACUGGACCCCAUCUGAACUGGACCCCAUCUGAACUGAACCCCAUUGGAACUGUACCCCAUUGGAACUGGACCCCAUCUGAACUGGACCCCAUCUGAACUGGACCCCAUCUGAACUGGACCCCAUCUGAACUGGACCCCAUCUGAACUGGACCCCAUUGGAACUGGACCCCAUCUGAACUGGACCCCAUCUGAACUGGACUCCAUCUGAACUGGACCCCAUCUGAACUGGACCCCAUCUGAACUGGACUCCAUCUGAACUGGACCCCAUCUGAACUGGACAGUAACCAAACUGGACCCCAUCUGAACUGGACCCCAUCUGAACUGGACCCCAUCUGAACUGGACCCCAUCUGAACUGGACCCUAUCUGAACUGGACCCCAUCUGAACUGGACCCCAUCUGAACUGGACCCCAUCUGAACUGGACUCCAUCUGAACUGGACAGUAACCAAACUGGACCCAAUCUGAACUGGACUCCAUCUGAACUGGACCCCAUCUGAACUGGACUCCAUCUGAACUGGACCCUAUCUGAACUGGACAGUAACCAAACUGGACCCAAUCUGAACUGGACCCCAUCUGAACUGGACCCCAUCUGAACUGAACCCCAUCUGAACUGGACCUCAUCUGAUUUGGACUCCAUCUGAACUGGACCCCAUCUGAACUGAACCCCAUCUGAACUGGACCUCAUCUGAUUUGGACUCCAUCUGAACUGGACCCCAUCUGAACUGGACCUCAUCUGAUUUGGACUCCAUCUGGACUGGACCCCAUUUGAACUGGACCCCAUCUGAACUGGACCCCAUCUGAACUGGACCUCAUCUGAUUUGGACUCCAUCUGAACUGGACCCCAUCUGAACUGGACCCCAUCUGAACUGGACUCCAUCUGAACUGGACAGUAACCGAACUGGACCCAAUCUGAACUGGACCCUAUCUGAACUGGACCAUAUCUGAACUGGACAGUAACUGAACAGGACCCCACCUGAACUGGACCCUAUCUGGACUGCACAGUAACCGAACUGGACCCCAUCUGAACUGGACAGUAACUAAACUGGACCCCAUCUGAACUGGACCCCAUCUGGACUGGACCCCAUCUGGACUGGACCCCAUCUGAACUGGACCCUAUUUGAACUGGACAGUAACCAAACUGGACCCAAACUGAACUGGACCCCAUCUGAACUGGACAGUAACCGAACUGGACCCAAUCUGAACUGGACACUAUUUGAACUGUACCUCAUCUGAAUUGGACCCUAUCUGAUUUGGACUCCAUCCGAACUGGACCCCAUCUGAACUGGACCCCAUCUGGACUGGACCCCAUCUGGACUGGACAGUAACUGAACUGGACAGUAACCGAACUGGACCCAAUCUGAACUGGACCCCAUCUGAACUGGACUCCAUCUGAACUGGACAGUAACCGAACUGGACCCAAUCUGAACUGGACCCCAUCUGAACUGGACCCCAUCUAAACUGGACCCCAUCUGAACUGGACCCUAUCUGAACUGGACAGUAACCGAACUGGACCCAAUCUGAACUGGACCCUAUUUGAACUGGACAGUAACCAAACUGGACCCAAACUGAACUGGACCCCAUCUGAACUGGACAGUAACCGAACUGGACCCAAUCUGAACUGGACCCUAUUUGAACUGUACCUCAUCUGAACUGGACCCUAUCUGAUUUGGACUCCAUCCGAACUGGACCCCAUCUGAACUGGACCCCAUCUGAACUGGACCCAAUCUGAACUGGACCCCAUCUGGACUGGACCCCAUCUGAACUGGACCCCAUCUGGACUGGACAGUAACUGAACUGGACAGUAACCGAACUGGACCCCAUCUGAACUGGACCCCAUCUGAACUGGACAGUAACUGAACUGGACCCAAUCUGAACUGGACCCCAUCUGAACUGGACCCCAUCUGAACUGGACCCCAUCUAAACUGGACCCCAUCUGAACUGGACCUUAUCUGAACUGGACAGUAACCGAACUGGACCCAAUCUGAACUGGACCCUAUCUGAACUGGACCCCAUCUGAACUGGACCCCAUCUUAACUGGACCCCAUCUUAACUGGACCCCAUCUGAACUGGACCCUACGUGAACUGGGUUAGGGGUUAGAGUUAGUGGUUAGGGUUAGGUUUUGAAUAGGAUUGUGUUUUAGGUCAGCAGGUUUGCUUUAGGGUUACGUUACGGUUAAGGGUUAGGGUUAAGAUAUUUUAAGAAAUCCACAAGGUCGAUCUGAUGCCUUCAAGCUAAUGCAGAGACUGGGGGGGAGGGUUGCACUCCGCUUGCUGAAUGGGGGUGUCGAGGGGUCCGGGCACAGAUCCGCUCAGGUUGUAGAACCCUGUAGUUGUCCACUACAGUAGAGUUGGUUUCGGGGUGCAUUGGUUUCAGUUGUCUACAUCCUUUUUUUUUGUCCAGGUAGGGGAUAGGGUUAGGGUGGAGGUUAGGGUUAGGAUAAGAGUAGGGUUAGGGUUAGGGUUAAGGAUAAGGUUAGGGUCAGGUUAGAAUGGUUAAGGUUAGGGUUAAGGUUAGGAUGGUUAAGGUUAGUGUUAAGGUCAGGGUUAGAAUUAGAAUGGUUAGGGUUCUCUAAUACCCGUGUGGCUUAGUUGGUAGAGCAUGGUGUUUGCAACACCAGGGUUGUGGGUUCAAUUCCCACGGGGGACCAGUACAGAGAGAAAAAUGUAUGAAAUGUAUGCAUUCACUACUGUAAGUCACUCUGGAUAAGAGCAUCUGCUAAAUGACUAAAAUGUAAAUGUAAUACUUUUCAUUCAUGCCCGUGGGAUCACAAGUACACAAUUUUUGAAUACAAAAUUGCUCCUUAAUCUGUCUGUGUGUUAACAACCACCCUUGGUUAGAUUCCAACCCUGCUAUUCUUAACUGAACUACUGGAUGAGAUCUAAAGUGGGUGUAUAGUGUGGUUUUAACCGACUCUUUACUUAUAUGAUAUAGAUGUUGUUUGAGUCUGGCUUCCAAGGAGUUCCUGGUUUCUCCAAUAUACAGUUUUCUACAUUGUAGACAUUCAAUGCCAUAUACAAUGUUGGUGGUCUUCAUUGAAAAACCUCCCAUACUGGAGCCCCUAGACCCGACCAUUUAUUCUGAAUGUAUUUUACUUGUCUAAAAUGUGAUCCACUCCGCCCCGGCUUCUCCCUGAAACCAGAGUGUACCAGCACAUCUGUCAAAUUUUUAUUUCGCCGAUAUGCUGAUAUUACUCUGAAUUGUUGGAGAACCUCCACAUCCUCCCUUGUCUGCUGGAAAUGAUCCUUCACUACGGAGUUAAACUUCAUAGAAGACUGUGAAUAUGCGGUGACAAAUGGGAUAACACUUCCAUCGUUACUAG
rnacentral:lncRNA from 1 species